AUAAGGUAUUCUGAAUAUUAUUAGUUCCAAGAAAUUUGCAUAUAGUUGCAGGACACAAUUCCAACACUCCUCCCCUACCUCAGGAAGCGCUGGUUCUCCGGAGGUGGCGUCGCUGCCAUAAUCCCCAGGAUCCCGACCAGCCGCUUCAAGUCGCAGCGAUCCAUGGCGGCCGCCGCCAAGUGGAGCGAGACGACCAUGCUCGUCAUCGACAUGCAGAAGGAUUUCGUAGACCCGGAGAUGCGCAGCCCACUGCUGGUCACUGGCGGCGAGGCCGUAAUCCCCGCCGUCGUUGAGGCCGUCGCCGUGGCGCGGAAGGGAGGAAUCUUCCUUGUUUGACGACAACACCGCCCCCUCCGAUGGGUUUUAUGUAGAUCUCGACGUCGAUGAGUGACUUGCCACCCAGGUGGUGAUCC